CUGGUAUAACCUAAGGCCUCUCCCCCAGGUGAGGUUGACGCGACCCCCCAGGCUGUCCGACACCACCCCUCCAUGGACCGCAGACAGGCAGAUCAGCGAUGUCUUCAGUAGAAUACGGAUUAUAAACACAUGUUCAGAACGUCCUUACAGCCGGCAGGGCAGUACACGCUGAGGAGGAGCACAGAGACAGGACAACAGGAAGCCCCGACCAGAGCGGUGUCGGCCCGACCUGAAGAUCACCGACGCUUUGUUGCUGCUAACCGACAAUUUCAUCUCCGAAGCAGUGAGUCUCCCACACAGAGGCCCUGAGAACACACACACACAUGCAUGCAC